AGAGUUUGAUCCUGGCUCAGGAUGAACGCUGGCGGCGUGCUUAACACAUGCAAGUCGAACGAUCCUUCGGGAUAGUGGCGGACGGGUGAGUAACGCGUGGGAAUCUGCCCUCAGGAGGGGGAUAACGGCUGGAAACGGCCGCUAAUACCCCAUAUGCCGAGAGGUGAAAUGAAUUUCGCCUGAGGAUGAGCCCGCGUCUGAUUAGCUAGUUGGUGGGGUAAAGGCCUACCAAGGCGACGAUCAGUAGCUGGUCUGAGAGGAUGAUCAGCCACACUGGGACUGAGACACGGCCCAGACUCCUACGGGAGGCAGCAGUGGGGAAUUUUCCGCAAUGGGCGAAAGCCUGACGGAGCAACGCCGCGUGUGGGAUGAAGGCCUCUGGGCUGUAAACCUCUUUUCUCAAGGAAGAAGACCUGACGGUACUUGAGGAAUAAGCCACGGCUAAUUCCGUGCCAGCAGCCGCGGUAAUACGGGAGUGGCAAGCGUUAUCCGGAAUUAUUGGGCGUAAAGCGUCCGCAGGCGGCCUUGUAAGUCUGUUGUUAAAGCGUGGAGCUCAACUCCAUUUAAGCAAUGGAAACUACAAGGCUGGAGUGUGGUAGGGGCAGAGGGAAUUCCCGGUGUAGCGGUGAAAUGCGUAGAUAUCGGGAAGAACACCAGUGGCGAAGGCGCUCUGCUGGGCCAUAACUGACGCUCAUGGACGAAAGCCAGGGGAGCGAAAGGGAUUAGAUACCCCUGUAGUCCUGGCCGUAAACGAUGAACACUAGGUGUCGGGGGAAUCGACUCCCUCGGUGUCGUAGCCAACGCGUUAAGUGUUCCGCCUGGGGAGUACGCACGCAAGUGUGAAACUCAAAGGAAUUGACGGGGGCCCGCACAAGCGGUGGAGUAUGUGGUUUAAUUCGAUGCAACGCGAAGAACCUUACCAGGGUUUGACAUCCUGCGAACCCCUGAGAAAUCGGGGGGUGCCUUCGGGAGCGCAGAGACAGGUGGUGCAUGGCUGUCGUCAGCUCGUGUCGUGAGAUGUUGGGUUAAGUCCCGCAACGAGCGCAACCCACGUCUUUAGUUGCCAGCAUUCAGUUGGGCACUCUAGAGAGACCGCCGGUGAUAAACCGGAGGAAGGUGCGGAUGACGUCAAGUCGUCAUGCCCCUUACAUCCUGGGCUACACACGUACUACAAUGCUACGGACAAAGGGCAGCAAGCUCGCGAGAGUUAGCAAUCCCAUAAACCGUGGCUCAGUUCAGAUCGUAGGCUGCAACUCGCCUACGUGAAGGAGGAAUCGCUAGUAAUCGCAGGUCAGCAUACU
rnacentral:rRNA from 1 species